rnacentral:rRNA from 1 species
AGAGUUUGAUCAUGGCUCAGAACGUACGCUGGCGGCACGCCUAAUACAUGCAAGUCGAACGAAGUAGCAAUACUUAGUGGCAGACGGGUGAGUAACAUGUGGGUAUCUUCCCUUUGGUGAGGAAUAACACGAGGAAACUUGUGCUAAUACCUCAUAAGUCUUUACGGAGAAAGCUUUAUGCGCCAUUGGAUGAGCCUGCACUUGAUUAGUUUGUUGGUGGGGUAAUGGCUUACCAAGACAAUGAUCAAUAGCUGAUUUGAGAGGAUGAUCAGCCACAUUGGGACUGAGACACGGCCCAAACUCCUACGGGAGGCAGCAGUAGGGAAUCUUGCACAAUGGAGGAAACUCUGAUGCAGCGAUGCCGCGUGAGUGAAGAAGGCCUUUGGGUUGUAAAGCUCUUUCGUCGGGGAAGAAAAUGACUGUACCCGAAUAAGAAGGUCCGGCUAACUUCGUGCCAGCAGCCGCGGUAAUACGAAGGGACCUAGCGUAGUUCGGAAUUACUGGGCUUAAAGAGUUCGUAGGUGGUUAAAAAAGUUGGUGGUGAAAUCCCAGAGCUUAACUCUGGAACUGCCAUCAAAACUUUUUAGCUAGAGUAUGAUAGAGGAAAGCAGAAUUUCUAGUGUAGAGGUGAAAUUCGUAGAUAUUAGAAAGAAUACCAAUUGCGAAGGCAGCUUUCUGGAUCAUUACUGACGCUGAGGAACGAAAGCAUGGGUAGCGAAGAGGAUUAGAUACCCUCGUAGUCCAUGCCGUAAACGAUGUGUGUUAGACGUUGGAAAUUUAUUUUCAGUGUCACAGUGAAAACCAUAAACACACCGCCUGGGGAGUACGACCGCAAGGUUAAAACUCAAAUGAAUUGACGGGGACCCGCACAAGUAGUGGAGCAUGUGGUUUAAUUCGAAGAUACGCGCAGAACCUUACCAACACUUGACAUGUUCGUCGCGACUCUAAGAGAUUAG